rnacentral:rRNA from 1 species
CAGUCGCCACGGUAAUACGUAGGUGGCAAGCGUUGUCCGGAAUUAUUGGGCGUAAAGCGCGCGCAGGCGGAUCAGUCAGUCUGUCUUAAAAGUUCGGGGCUUAACCCCGUGAUGGGAUGGAAACUGCUGAUCUAGAGUAUCGGAGAGGAAAGUGGAAUUCCUAGUGUAGCGGUGAAAUGCGUAGAUAUUAGGAAGAACACCAGUGGCGAAGGCGACUUUCUGGACGAAAACUGACGCUGAGGCGCGAAAGCCAGGGGAGCGAACGGGAUUAGAUACCCGAGUAGUCCCUGUCUCUUAUACA